GUUGUAUGGUUAAGUGACUAAGCGUACACGGUGGAUGCCUUGGCAGUCAGAGGCGAUGAAGGACGUAGUAACUUGCGAUAAGCGUAGAUGAGGCAGUAACAGCCACUUGAGUCUACGAUUUCCGAAUGGGGAAACCCACUGGCAUAAGCCAGUAUCAUUGAGUGAAUACAUAGCUCAAUGAAGCGAACCGGGAGAACUGAAACAUCUAAGUACCCCGAGGAAAAGAAAUCAACCGAGAUUCCGAAAGUAGCGGCGAGCGAAAUUGGAUUAGCCCUUAAGCUUUACAUGUGUUAGACGAACGGUCUGGAAAGUCCGACGAUACAGGGUGAUAGUCCCGUAGUUGACGAUGCAUGUUCAGUGAAAUCGAGUAGGGCGGGACACGUGUUAUCCUGUCUGAAUAUGGGGGGACCAUCCUCCAAGGCUAAAUACUCCUGACUGACCGAUAGUGAACCAGUACCGUGAGGGAAAGGCGAAAAGAACCCCUGUGAGGGGAGUGAAAUAGAACCUGAAACCGUGUACGUACAAGCAGUAGGAGCACCUUCGUGGUGUGACUGCGUACCUUUUGUAUAAUGGGUCAGCGACUUAUAUUCAGUGGCAAGGUUAACCAUCUAGGGGAGCCGUAGGGAAACCGAGUCUUAACUGGGCGCCAUAGUCUCUGGAUAUAGACCCGAAACCGAGUGAUCUAGCCAUGGGCAGGUUGAAGGUUGAGUAACAUCAACUGGAGGACCGAACCGACUAAUGUUGAAAAAUUAGCGGAUGACUUGUGGCUAGGGGUGAAAGGCCAAUCAAACUCGGAGAUAGCUGGUUCUCCCCGAAAGCUAUUUAGGUAGCGCCUCGGACGAAUACUACUGGGGGUAGAGCACUGUUAAGGCUAGGGGGUCAUCCCGACUUACCAACCCUUUGCAAACUCCGAAUACCAGUAAGUACUAUCCGGGAGACACACGGCGGGUGCUAACGUCCGUCGUGGAGAGGGAAACAACCCAGACCGCCAGCUAAGGUCCCAAAUUACAGCUAAGUGGGAAACGAUGUGGGAAGGCUUAGACAGCUAGGAUGUUGGCUUAGAAGCAGCCAUCAUUUAAAGAAAGCGUAAUAGCUCACUAGUCGAGUCGGCCUGCGCGGAAGAUGUAACGGGGCUAAGUUGUAAACCGAAGCUGCGGCAAUGUUCU
rnacentral:rRNA from 1 species